rnacentral:siRNA from 1 species
AUACAGAAGCACCAAUAUCGCCA